UAAUAUUCCGACCCCUUGUUAUUUGUUCAAUAAAGUGCGGAAUUUAGUAUGUGAGGCGACUUAUUGGAUUGUCGUCGGCAACAUAACGCAAGAAGUGUUGACGGGAAGUUCAUUCGUGGACAAACCUCACAAAGCAAGUUUCCAAGAAAAGCUUUAUUUAAAUAAAAUAAUAAGACCGUACCGCAAACCGACACAGGUGGACAAGCGUAAGUAUGCUAAGGUGAACGGGUUAAACCUCGUUAAGGAACUCGGCAAACAAGUGGCCGUAAGUUCGCAAUAUGGCCUGCCCGACGCGCAAGCGUUUAGGGCUGCAACAAACGUACUUCAACCGACUGUUUAUCAAAAACACAACUCUCUGCUAACUCGUAAGAGGAUGUAUAGGGGGUGAGGCCUGACCAGUGUUGGAAUGUUAAGUUUGGGGGUGGUAGCCGCAAGGUUACUGCUCNNNNNNNNNNNNNNCAAUGAACGUCGGCGAUAACUAUAAACAAUGACGAUUGUAGUUAUAAAAUUUGACUAUAUGCUGGAAACUCCGGGUAUGUUGGACUACUAUCCGUUAUCAUGAUAAAAUAUGAUAAUGAAAGUAAAAAUGUCCAACUGCGGACAAUCAGCAGGAAAGGCUUUUGAUGAGAGUUUACCCAACUAUUUGAGCGGUUUUACUGAUGGCGAAGGAAGCUUCAAUAUAUCAGUAAUAAAUCGCGAAAAAGAUUAUAAACAUGGCUGGAAAAUCAGUUUAUGUUUUAAUAUUUCUCAGAAAGAUGACACAAUUCCUAAAUUAUUUAAAAAUUAUUUAGGAUGCGGGAAAAUAAGAUACCGCAAAGACGGAAUUUGCUAUUUUGAUGUUAGAAAAACAGAAGAUUUAGUAAAUAUUAUUGUGUCUUUUUUCAAAAAAUUUCCGUUGCUUUCAAAAAAGGAUGAUACAUUCAAAAUUUUUUGUGAGGCAUUGGAAAUAGUUAAGAAUAAAAAACACUUAACUAAAUCCGGAAUGGAAAAAAUUCUGGAAUUGAGAAAUAAAAUUAUAGUUGGUAGAAAAAGAAAGUAUUCGAAUGAUGAAAUACUUUCAACUUAUCAAAAGAAUCCCCAGAGACUAUACGUCAAACACCAUUAACACUGGUGAAGAUAUAGUCCGAUCUUUAUGGCGACAUAAAGGCUCCCCGCUAAGCGGGGUAAUAAAAAGAUGAAUCGUCCAAAGGUAUUACAAAGACCCACCGCAAAGUAAUUUUUCGUAGCGAAAUGCAGUAAUUUUGUGCGAAAAUUUGGAAAAUUGAGGAGGUUUAUCAAGUGAUAAGCCGACGAGAUUUUACAAAUUUGCAGCCGAAAUUACAAAUUGCAGCAGAAAGGAUUAUUUUGCGGUGGGUCUAGAUGCUUUUGUAAAACUUGGCUAUAUGCUGGAAACUCCGUUGUAUCCGGCGCUACCCCGAUUAUAUCGAGGGUGAAAAUGCGUCCGGUGCGGACAAUCAGCAGGAAACCAUUUUAUUUGAAAGGAGCGUGAAACAUGAAAAUGUUUCUUGCUAUAUUUUUUGUAGCGAUUUUUGUCGCAAUGAUAGAAAUCGCAAUCAAGCAACGUAUCUUUCGAAAAAAGUAGGAUCCUCAACGACUAUACGCCAAGGCGUAAAUUGACAACAAGCGGGCAUGCAAAGUGCCUCUGCCCGCAAUUUUUUUCAAUGAACGCAAGAUAUAGUCUGAACUGCAUGGCGACAUGCAGAAUGCAGCAGAAAUGACUGCACCGGUGUUGAAAAUGACUUAAUCAACACUAAGUAACAAAAUUGAGCGUAAUCCCUUGCCGGGUAAAGAAAACCGGAAAUUGCUCGGCAUAAUAAAGUUGGCUCAUAACGGAGAAAGCUGAAAAACUUGGACAGUUUUUCUUCCAACCCCGUGGGAAGUUUACAAAAUUAUAUUUUGUAUAACCCCGUAACGACUGAGCUCGAAAGAGCGAGAUAGAGGUGAAAAAUCUUCUAUAACACGCCAACCAAUAACAAAUCUGGAUUCCCGCUUUCGCGGGAAUGACAAUUUGUUGUUGAAGGUAUAGUCUAAUUUUCAAUUACAAAAUUGAAGUUCCGGCCCGCAUGAAUGGCUUAACGACUUGAAGACUGUCUCAACGAGGCGCCCGGUGAAAAUGCAAUGGCAGUGAAGAUGCUGCCUACCUGCGGCUAGACGGAAAGACCCCGGAAGCUUUACUGUAGUUAGAUAUUGGUUUAUGGUUUUCGAUGCGUAGCGUAGUGGGGAGGAUUUGAAGUCCCGCCUUCGGGCGGGAUGGAUCCGCCGAUGAAACACCCAUCUUUGAAAAUUAUAAUUCUAAUUCCCUUAACUUGGGAUGACAGUGUUUAAUGGGCAGUUUAAGUGGGGCACUUGCCUUAACUAUUACAAAUCAUAAACGCAUUUGUAAUGGGGCCACUUGAAAGUAAUUUCAAGUGCAAACUCGACUAAUAUGCUGGAACAUCCGAGUAUCCAAAAGUACUAAGCAUUGGAAGGCCCGUCCUUCCAAUAAUUAGUGAAAAUCUUUUGGCGCGACCUCCUCCGUUAAAACUACGGACGGUCAACGGACAAUCAGCAGGGAAUUAUUCGAAAAUUGAAAGUUGCGUUAUCAGGGAAAUUUCUUUGACAAGGAGAAAACAAUGACGAGCGAUACUAUUGUUACGGCUGUUAUUAUUGUCGCAUUGGUUGCGUGCACGCCUUUUGUGUGGCUCGCAUAUGGAGUGGUAAAAGCGAUGGUCAAGGAUAGACAAAAAUAGGAAUUUUCAAGGCGAAUCAAGGACGAUUCGCCACAACUUUCAAUUUUCGAAUAGACCCUCAACGACUACACGUCGAGACCCUGUAAAUUUUACAGGGCAGUGAUAUAGUCUGAACUUUAUGGCGACAUAAAGAUUCGGUAAUGUUAAUUUUUAAAACCUUUGGCGAGGUUUUAAUCGUGCCGAUUAACUAAUCCGAAACUUAAAAUUUAUUUUAAGGUUAACAGAAUUGCCUAAAGAGUAAUGGAGGCGUUUAAAGGUUGGCUAGCUUCGGAUGGAAAUCGAAGCGAUAGGGCAAAGCCAUAAGCCAGCUUUACUGCAAGACGGCUAUGUCGCGCAGUUGCGAAAGCAGAACUUAGUGAACCGACUAAUUUUCAUAGAAAAUUAGAAGAUCAUCAGCCAAAAGCUACUCCGGGGAUAACAGGCUGGUAGAGCCCGAGAGUCCUUAUCGACGGCUCUGUUCGGCACCUCGAUGUCGGCUCAACUUAUCCUGGGGGUGGAGAAGCUCCCAAGGGUCCGGCUGUUCGCCGGUUAAAAAGUUACGUGAGCUGGGUUCAAACCGUCAAAUAGAAUCAGACUUAUUAACAACAAGUCUAUAGAAUAUCGAGAUCAA
rnacentral:ncRNA from 1 species